rnacentral:rRNA from 1 species
AAUCAACGCUGGCGGCGUGCCUAACACAUGCAAGCCGAGCGAGAAAAGGGGAGCAAUCCCCUGAGUACAGCGGCGCACGGGUGAGUAACACGUGGGUAAUCUGCCCUGGAGUGGGGAAUAACACCGGGAAACCGGUGCUAUUACCGCAUACGAUAGCGAGGUCUGCGGACUUUGUUAUGAAAGGAGCAAUUCGCUUUAGGAGGAGCCCGCGGCUGAUUAGCUAGUUGGUGAGGUAACGGCUCACCAAGGCGACGAUCAGUAGCCGGUCUGAGAGGACGGUCGGCCACACUGGAACUGAGACACGGUCCAGACUCCUACGGGAGGCAGCAGUGGGGAAUUUUUGGCAAUGGGGGAAACCCUGACCAAGCAACGCCGCGUGGGUGAUGAAGUCUCUUGGGACGUAAAACCCUUUCGACGGGGAAGAAACCGCAAGGUUGACGGUACCCGUGGAAGAAGCCCCGGCUAACUCCGUGCCAGCAGCCGCCGUAAAAC